CUUUUUUGCCAAAAAGGCCUUUGAAGAGGUUAGCAAAAAUAUUUCCCAUGGUUGAGAUAUGGUGUCACUGGCCAGUAAGUCGGCGUGGGCUGCUCUGCUG